rnacentral:rRNA from 1 species
UAGGGAAUCUUCCACAAUGGACGCAAGUCUGAUGGAGCAACGCCGCGUGAGUGAAGAAGGUUUUCGGAUCGUAAAGCUCUGUUGUUGGUGAAGAAGGAUAGAGGUAGUAACUGGCCUUUAUUUGACGGUAAUCAACCAGAAAGUCACGGCUAACUACGUGCCAGCAGCCGCGGUAAUACGUAGGUGGCAAGCGUUGUCCGGAUUUAUUGGGCGUAAAGCGAGCGCAGGCGGAAGAAUAAGUCUGAUGUGAAAGCCCUCGGCUUAACCGAGGAACUGCAUCGGAAACUGUUUUUCUUGAGUGCAGUAGAGGAGAGUGGAAUUCCAUGUGUAGCGGUGGAAUGCGUAGAUAUAUGGAAGAACACCAGUGGCGAAGGCGACUCUCUGGUCUGCAACUGACGCUGAGGCUCGAAAGCAUGGGUAGCGAACAGG